rnacentral:rRNA from 1 species
UACGAAGGGGGCUAGCGUUGUUCGGAAUCACUGGGCUUAAAGCGUGUGUAGGCGGAUGCCUAAGUACCUUGUGAAAUCCCACAGCUCAACUGUGGAACUGCUUGGUAUACUGGGUGUCUUGAGCCACUUAGGGGUUACCGGAACAAAUGGUGGAGCGGUGAAAUGCGUAGAUAUCAUUUGGAACGCCAAUGGUGAAAACAGGUAACUGGGAGUGUGCUGACGCUGAGACACGAAAGCCAGGGGAGCGAACGGG